rnacentral:precursor_RNA from 10 species
AGAGGGGAAUGUGUUCAAAGGCACAGAUGAUAGCCAGGUGCCUCAUCUCAUGCCUGUGGAAAAACCUGUGUGAGAGGAGUGUCUGACUGUUUUCUGUGCCUUUGCGAUCUCACUGGGCUCU